AACCCAUGAGUUGGAGAUUGAGCAAGAUAGUACUUGAAACGCUCCCAUGCCGAAUAUAAUUGUUCCCCCGGGAGCUGUUUGACCUCAAAGAUCUUAUCUCGAAGUUC